GAUGAACGCUGGCGGCAGGCCUAACACAUGCAAGUCGAACGAGUGGCGGACGGGUGAGUAAUGUCUGGGAAACUGCCUGAUGGAGGGGGUUAACUACUGGAAGCGGUCGCUAAUUCCGCAUACUAUCGGAUGGGCCCAGAUGGGCUUAGCUAGUAGGUGGGGUAACGGCUCACCUAGGCGACGACCCCUAGCUGGUCUGAGAGGAUGACCAGCCACACUGGAACUGAGACACGGUCCAGACUCCUACGGGAGGCAGCAGUGGGGAAUAUUGCACAAUGGGCGCAAGCCUGAUGCAGCCAUGCCGCGUGUAUGAAGAAGGCCUUCGGGUUGUAAAGUACUUUCAGCGAGGAGGCGUUACUCGCAGAAGAAGCACCGGCUAACUCCGUGCCAGCAGCCGCGGUAAUUC
rnacentral:rRNA from 1 species